AGAGGGGAAACCCGGAAGCCGGCGGAACCGGGGUCGGAGGAGGAGGCGGGAGGAGAAGCAGCCUCCGAGGGCCGCCGUAGGGGAAAGCGGUCUCGCUUCCCUCCCGGGGCCGCGAAACCUUUCCUGCCCUCUUCGCCGGUAGGGAGGAGGCUCUGGCCGUGGAAACGGAACCCCGGGGCCUUUCUGAGGGAAGUGGGGGAGAAGACAGGCAGCGAUACGUGAAUAUGUUGUAGAUAUUUUCCCACAUUUAUUAUGCUAUUUUGUGAUAUACAAAUGACAUGAGAAAACCUGGCAUGCUUAUUUGUAUAACGUUAUUCUUUUCUCUUUUAAAAAAAAAAAAAAAAUUAUUGGUUUUACAACAUUAUAAAAAAACAAACAUUGGCUUAGGAUUUUAUUUAUGUUAAGGGAUGAAUUAAUAUGUUUAAUUUCAUAAUGUGAAGAUCUAAGGAUGUCACUGUUUAAGUUAAAUUUUAUAAGAACUGUGAUUUGGAAAACCAUUAAAAGGAUAUGCAGUGAAAUUCAACCAAAGGGAAGCGAGGAAGUCACCUAACAAUGUUAAUAAGUGUAAUUUUCAAUAAGCUAUGAUUUUUGUUUGUUUGUCUUAUGUAUAACAUUAUUCUUGUUUAUAAAACCCAAUUAAUAAAACCAAACACUGUGGCUUCCAAAGACAGGCAGCGGAUACGUUAAUAUGUUGUAGAUAUUUUCCCACAUUUUAUUAUGCUAUUUUUGUGAUAUACAAAUGACAUGAGAAAACUUGGCAUGCUUGUUUGUAUAACAUUAUUCUUGUUUAUAAAACUCAAUUAAAAACAAAACAAAACACCGUGGCUCCUAAAGGGUGCAGCAGCAGGAGAGGAUCCAAAAACAAACAAACAAGACAUUUGAGUGUAGUGUAGUUUAGUAUCGAAAUACUUGUUUCUGUGCAGAAUAUGGAUGUUUUGGGAAUCAUUCCUACUAUUUUUCUAUAAGCUGCACGGUUCUACAUUUGCCGGAUGCCCCGCGAUCGUGUUAUAAAGUAGCUGUGUUGUCCGUUGCUUUCCAGUGUAUUUGGAAAUCGGUCCGUCAACGAACUGUGAGAGAGGCUAUGAAAUGACAGUGGAGGCAAUAGAUGUACCUGUUUGCAUUGUGACACACACAAAAACCCAAUAAAAACGAGUAAAAAAAAUCAGGGUGUUGCGAGCAAUUUUUUAUUCUGUAAGUAUGGCCCAGGGGGGUGGGGGGGAAACCACCGAAUAUUUCUCAUACGUGUUUAGUUUGAUCUUAAGCAAAAGAGAAAAAAUUGAUUUGAAAGAGUUUUGAAGUUGCAGUCCUACACACGGUUACCUCAGAGAGUGCUCCAGUCAGGUCUGACUUGAGUAACAUUUUGACUUCGUAGAGCUGCAGUUUUUAACAACUUGCUGUUUUUGCAGCAUUAGGAGUCCCACAGCACUUUUUAAAGGGAAGGGUGCCCUUGCACAUGUGCAGAGUGCCUAGUCUCUCUAAAAAACCCCAACUCAAUAAUUCCUCUGCACAUCUGUGGACAAGCAAAGUGCUUCUGUGUAUGAGGGCAUAAGUAUGAUUUUUACUUCUUACUAAGAAAUAAACCACAACAUGUGCAUGGGCAUAGCUGGAGAGAGGGGCAGCUGCCAACCAAUCAAAUAAAUCAAUAAAAAUACUGAGGUUCUGCCCCCCCUUAUCAUGAAGGCUGCCCCCCCCAACAUAAAUCCUGGCUACAUCCAAGACCAUGUGAAAUAAAUUUUUGAAUUCAUGUAUUGUCUGCACCUACAUACCUGUCGCAGACCUAGACACCUAGACACACAAAAACUUUGUAGAGGUGAGAAAAACAUGCUUCUGGCUUGCGUGCAAUUUCCUAACAUCAUCCAUUUCACUUCCUUAUACAAAACACUUUUCCCCAUACAUUAAAAGAACAAAGUAUUCCAACCAAUAGAUGGAAAAAAAUGAUUGUUCAAUUUGAGCCAGGGCACAUCAGAACACAUUUGCAAUGCAUAGCUCAGUCCUCAAAAUGUGAAGUAAUAAUCUCUGUUCAUGUGUAGAGUUCAUCAUACCAGACUAAAAUCCAUACUCUGUAAUUGCAUGUGGCCCAGAAUACCUGACCUGCCCAGCCAGUAGCUGUUGCAGCUUUUAAGGAGUAAAUGUACAGAAAUGGUUAACACAGUUUAUUGCAACACAUAUGCAAGCUGUUGACUUAUGUCUCCUCCCAGUUCCCAAAUUAAAAGCAGCAAAAUGAUUAAACAGUAUUUAUUAUAGAAAGAGACUCACUGUUGUUUCUUUGUUUGCUCACUUGCUCUGUUGUAAGGUAACAAAUCGAAUACUGAACUAAAUAACAAAGUAGGACACCCUCACUGUUGCUUCUCUGGCCUUUGGUGAAACAGAUUUGACUAUGCUCAAAACCAGUAUAGUAUUCUGAUAGGCUAAUGCUGCUACUACAUUGGUCUGCUUUGUGAGCAGCUCUGACUCUUCCCAUAUCUGCUACAGUGUGUGUGCUAGAAAGCCUCAUAACAACAGCUGGAGUAGGAGCGUUCCUACCAGGGCUGACUUUCCAGCAGCCCAAUCAUUCACAUGGUUUUUCUUGCUUAAAGCACAUGGGAAGGACUUCAUGGCCAGAGCUAUACUUUUGUAUUAGGAAUGGCUGAGUGGUGCAGAGAGCAGGAGAAUGACAGAAAUGCCUCUAAAUUCAAGGAAGUAUAAAAUGUGUAUGAGACAAGAAAGGGCUUGAGCCAAGUAGCGUCAGUGGAGCAGCCGUCAUCGGCCUUAAUGAACUUAAUGAGAUUUACUUUAGCUAGAUACGUAGAGGACCGCAUUGUUGGACAUUUGGUGCUUGUUUUUCUUCUCAGUUCAAAAUGAAAUAUCCAACAUGAAGAAUUCAAAGCAUGUUUUCUAUAUUCAGAUUACAUGAUUUGCUAGAGAGACAGGAAAGAGAAGUUAUAAUUGGACAAAAUAUAUAC